AUGGUGGCUGCCGCCGCCGCGCCAGAUCCGGCACGCACGUCGCGCCCGCCGCUCACGCCGGCGCUCGACAAGCCCAACUCCGGCGCCGCGCCCCGCCGGCCCGCGCGCUCCGGCAGCAAGCCCGUCUCCUCGCGCUACCUCGCCUCCGCCGCCUCGCCGGCCUCCUCCACCUCGUCGACUUCGUCUUCGUCGUCCUCGUCCGCCUCGUCCCGCCGCUCCCUGUCGGCGCAGCGCGGCCGCGCCUCGACUCCACCGCCGCAGCACGCCACGUCGCCCACGCCCGUGGCCGCGGCGGCCACGGCCGCGACCGUGACGGCGACCACGAUGCGGAGCCUCUCGGUGUCCUUCCAGGGGGAGUCCUUCUUCUACCAGACGUCGCGCGCGCCGCGGGCCGCGUCGCCGUCCUCGCCUGCCGGCCGGCGGGGCCCCACGCCGGAGCGGCGGAAGAGCGUGUCCUCUGUGCCGGAGGCCGAGAACGCGCGGCCCCAGCACCGAUGGCCCGCGGCCAAGCCCAAGGCGUCGGACCCGCUCGCUCGAAGCCUCGACUGCAACCUCGACCGCAAGGACUCCAUCCUGGCUGCCGUCCAGCUCCUCCGCCGAUCCAUGGCCUUCGACUCCACCACCUCCUUCCCCCCCUCUGACCAUGCCGCCGCCGCUGGUCCUGACCUCUCUGCCUCCGACACCGACAGCGUCUCCUCCGGUAGCAACUCUGGAGCCGGCGAUCCGCCACGCCGUGGCAUCAGCGUGCCAGCGAGAUUCUGGCAGGAAACUAACAGCCGCCUACGAAGACUUCCGGACGCAGGGCUGCCGCAACAGUCGUCUGGACGGAGAUCGUUCUCAGACAGUCAAAUGUCACCGAGGCUGCCUGGCCGGUCCCCGUCUCCAAGCCGAGGAAGCAAGGGGACGGCGAGCCCAUCAAGAGGGCGAGCUGGGGAGGCAUCACCAAAUGGGCACAUGGUUCAGACGGCAGCAAACGCGCCAUCUAUCAUUAGCUUUGCUGCGGAGGUGAGGAGGGCAAAGAAGGGGGAGAACAGAAUUGAGGAGGCACACAGAUUGCGAAUGCUGGACAACCAGCAUUUGCAGUGGCGGUGCAUCAAUGCUCGGACAGAUGCAACCCUUCUGGUGCAGAGCUUCACUGCCGAGAAAACCCUACACAGUGCAUGGAAGGAAAUAUCAAAGUUGCGUGACAAUGUCAGUUCGAAAAGGUGCAAACUCCAGCUUCAAAAACAAAAACUGAAGCUGUUUGCUAUUCUUAGGGGAGAGAUGUCCUAUCUAGAGGAGUGGUCUCAUGUCGAGAAACACCAUUCAAGUUCUUUGUCAGCAGCAAUUGAAGCACUAAAGGCCAGUACUCUCCGUCUUCCGGUUGUUGGUGGUGCAAAGGCUGAUGCCCAAGGUGUGAAGGAGGCUGUUAACUCAGCGGUUGAUGUAAUGCAUACAAUGGCAUCUUCGAUGUGUAAUUUGUUGUCAAAGGUGGAGGGGACAAGCUCCGUGGUGUAUGAGCUUGCGAAGCUUGCAACACAAGAGCAAAUGCUGUUGGACCAAUCAAGGGAUCUCUUGUCCACGGUGGCAGCGAUACAUGUCAAACAGUGCAGCUUGAAAACUCACUUGCUGCAGCGAAAGCAAAGGCAGAGCCAAACACGGUGGUAG
rnacentral:rRNA from 1 species